ensembl:lncRNA
AAAUCUUGCCUAACUCCAUGCCUGUGGGACACAAACCUGCUCAGAGCCACAGCACUGAACUGCAUCUGUAGCUGAGGCAAAAUCCCCUCAUUACUGCUGGACAAACACUCAAGAAAAGUGGUUGGGAAGUAAGUCCAUAGCUCCGCCUUCCAAGUGACAGAUCUUCAGGACUUGCCCUUCCUUUCAGAUGGGAAGCUCAGACCUACACCCCGCACUCUGCUGUGCCAGCACCUGACCAGGACAAGAACGCAGUGUAUCCACUGAGCGUGAGCUCUGCUCUUUUAGAAGAUGGGCCUGGUGCUAGACUUCCCAAGUCACCUCCAGGGCUGUAAUUGGAGGUAAACAAAAUUGUAAGUGACCAGAUAAGCCAACCUGCCAUGUUCCUUGCUGUGGUAGUCUCUAAAUGCAGAAACAAAUCAGGAGCUCCUUCUCACAGCCCUUUGACUAGGAGGUAGAAGAUUAUUUCCAGAUGAUUCCUCAGACUUUCCUGGUUCUUGGAUACCUUCUUCCUAAUGCUAUGGCUGUCCUGGUGUGGUUGCAUUAGAAGCAUUCAUAGGCAUGGGCUUUUGAAUGAAAAACAAGGGACAAAAGUGGAAGUAGCUGCUGACUCUGCUUUGUGACACAUUUGUGAUAUUCCCCUAAAGGAAAAUAGAAUCUGAGCUCUAAAAGUAGAGCCAGCUUGAGUCCUCACAGCAGGGAAGUCCAAGCAGUGUGGUUUCUACUUUUAACUCUUUGUUUGUAGUGAGACCCAAAUAAGUUGGGUCUAACUAUAUUUUACAGAACGUGUAUCUUUAUGUGUGAACUGUACAAAACAUACACUGAAAACUCCCAAAUUUAAGAACAUAUAUAACAGUAUCAAAUGGAAAUGCACUUCUCUUCAUCCAGAGAAUCCCAAUUUGCUUUACGGAGAAUUGCUGGAAUUGCAGGAAGGACUUUGUGGCAGAAUUUGUCCAGCAGUGCUUGCACUCAUUCUGCGUUAAGUGGUACAUCCACAUGACUGUGUGCAUGGCUAUGCGAGUGGCUGAAACCAUCACACUAAGAGAGUCUGUCCAUAUGACCUUUAGCAAUAUGUUAACAGUCCCACUCGCAAACUGUUUGCAGGAAUCAGUUUUCCUUCCCUUCACUUCAAAGUUGGAUGCUGAGCUACAUGACUCUCCAAUUCUUUUGACUGGUCUUUCUGUUCUCUGAAGAUUGACUCAUUUCCUGUGUUUGAAUAAGAUAGUAAAAGUGGAUAUGAAAUAUUAUUUUGCAAUUGUAAUCAGAAUAGCUCUCAGUGCAGAUAUUAAUAGUGAAUUCUAAGACUCUGCCUGAUAACAGCUGAGUUUAUGGUUUCAUGGGUUAGAUUCUGCUCUCAUUUAUUUCACUGUAAACCCAGAGUAACUGUCAAAAGUCAGUGGAUUUGCUCCAGAUUUCUGCAAAUGUAACGGAGGUCUGCCUCUUGCUCCAUGUUUCUCCUACGGUGUUGGUGACAUCAGCAGCCUGGCUGUGUGAAUCAGGGCACAGAUGAAUCAAUGCAGGCAGAAUUGAAAGCAGCUCAUUCCCUUAACUAAAACCACUGCUCUUUGGAUUCUUCUCUAUAAAGAGAUCCAUUAUUCAUUGCUCUUCGGAACCAGUUCAUAUUAUGGUCUACAGAACACUGAAGCAUGAAAACUUGAAGAAUUCAAAGCAGAGGUACAGAAAAAACAGGCAGCAAUGAAGUAUGUGGCUCUUAGUACUUUAGGAGAGGCCGUUGAGCAAGACCUCCUUUGGAAUGUGGUUUGGCUGUUAAUUCUUGAUUUUGCUAGCUGUUGUGUUGCUUCAGACUUUUCAGAAGUGUGUACAUAUCUAUGUUUGAAGGACUGUGGAAGGAUCCAACUGAAUCUUGCUUUGCCAGCUAGGGUUCAAAGGCUGAACUGCAAACUGUAGUUCUGAAAUGUGCCUCAGCCAUUAACUCAAGUCAGAAAUGUUACCUUUGCACACCUGUCCUAAGUAUACAGAAGAAAAACAUCAAAAAUUUUAACACAGUGGAAUUUUAUGAUCAUCCCAUGCCAGCUGUUUCAUCUUUUGACUCAAACAAUCUAUCAUGGCCUCAGCCUAAAAAUGGAGAACAUUUAAGACUAUCUUUGUCAGGGUUGAAACAAACUGUAGAAAGUAAAGUGUUCCUUUAUGAUGAGAUACAUUAAAGCUGGCCCUUCAGUAACUUAAAGUUAAGACCAUUGAUCUUGGUUAAGGUUCAUAGGGAUCGAGAGCAUGCUGCUAACUACUAGUGGGUCUCAGUUGCCCAAAGGUAUUAAAGGAGUCAGAGUUCAGUUGCAGCUAAAAUUUCCUGUUUUCCUGGAUAUUACAAAGUAGCAGAUUUUAAAACAUGGUUAUAAGAUGGUUGCUCAAGAUGGAUUUUCAAGUAUGCUGUGAAAGGUCUGCACGUGCUUAACCUGAUGCUGUGGCCAAAUCACAUCAGUUCUUUGAUUAAAACAACAGUGCAGCAGUGCAGACCUGUUAAUUUAAGUUCUGCACAUCACAUGCCCAGUACGUCCAAGGGAUUUUAGAAAUCUGCGGCUUCCAAAAGAACAAGUUAUAGGGAAAAGGAGAAAAGCUGAUGAUGAUGGAGGCAAAGAUUUGCAAACAUUACCUGUGAUUAAAUUAUGGGACAGACAUAGACAUGGGAUGGAAGAAACUGCAAGAAACAAGUUCACAGGACUGAAGGGUUCCUGGAGGCUCUGAACAAGGUGCCAGACUGAUGGGGCUGCCUGCAUACACAUAUGAAAGCGAUACCAUGCAAGAGUCCACUGAUACCUAGGGAGAGAAAGAGGAGGAAACCCAACUAGUACUGAGGCCCUGUUAGAGAGUCUGCAGAGAUCAAGGACAUUCAAAGUUCUGUCUUGAAACAG